AGCAGGAAAAGGGAGCAGCAAAAACCGACAGCACUCUGAAUUUGGGGACAUUCUUCUGUACAGUCGUCCCUCUUUCCCAUCAGGACAAACUCAGACAGUGCCAAAUGAGUCUAAUUCAUCCAAAUUUGCAUCAUCUGGAGACUCAAGGACUAAACAGGGUGGACAGGUGGCACCUUUGGGACAGGUGGAAGAGUUCCUGAAAAGCUAAGAAGCAAUGUGCGCUCAACAGGAAUAUCCUAUUGUUGCUUCAGAGAAAGGACUACAACCUUUAAAAAAGUGGAAAAGACUCCAAAAAUACUGCACAAUAUAAGUUUUUUUAAAAGUCAGAUUUCUCAUUAAGUGUUGGAAAAAAAGGAAAAAAGUGCUCUCAUCUUUAAGUAACUAGACUUUUAUUUGAUGCACUGUUUAUUGUUUGCUUUCUUUUGCUGACCAGACUCCAGGACACUGACCUGUUGGAGGCUGGCUCUAGU